rnacentral:lncRNA from 1 species
AAACUCUCCUUGUACUUUGCUCUCUUUCUUUAGCUUGCCCAUGGUGAUGUGAAGAUGAGAAGAAAUAGCAAGGCCCAACCAGUUCUUCAUCUGGAGACAGUUCAACGUUCUGCAAACCAGAUCUUCAGGAAUUUUACUGGGAUAAUUAUCCAAAUAAAUUGCAAGCAUUCUAUCCAAAUGGAGCUCUUUCUGAGAUGAAGAGAAUUCUCAAUGUCAAGAUUUGAACAAGAAGAGAAUGGAAUACACAAUAUGGACAUCCAUAAAAAUUCAUCAGAGAGCAUUUUACUACUGAGCUGCAAAGGGAAAAACUUAAAAUGGAUAUGAAAAGUGAAGAAAGUGAUCAUAGGAGAAAACCAUUUCAGGUGUCUGAUGAUUUGUGAGCCUCAAGUGACUACUCUGUGGAAUCAUCUGUCCUUGCCUUUGAAUUAGCUUUCCCUAGGCCAUGAGUCAACAUUAGUAGUUUAUACAUCCAAAUUGAUGACAAGAGCACCUCAAAGGCAGCAGCCUCAAGGAGCAGCCAUGGCCCCAGACUUGUCGCACGGAUGCAGAAAACUUAAUGGAGGAGGCUGAGCAAAACAGAGCGUGACACUCCCAAUCAUCUGCAUGCUGGAAAUGAGGAAAUGGUUAUUGAAUGAUACAAGUGCUUUUCGAUCAUUUAGAAAGUUCUGUUUCCCAAGAUCUUUUUUUUUUUUUUUUUUUUUGAGACGGUGUCUUGCUCUGUCACCCAGGCUGGAGUGCAGUGGCGCGAUCUCGGCUCACCACAACCUCCACCUCCUGGGUUCAAGCGAUUCUCCUGCCUCAGCCUCCCGCGUGGCUGAGACUACAGGCAUGUGCCACCAUGCCCGGCUAAUUUUUGUAUUUUUAGUAGAGACAGGGUUUCACUAUGUUGGCCAGGCUGGUCUCAAACUCCUGACCUCGUGAUCCGCCCGCCUUGGACUCCCAAAGUGCUGGGAUUACAGUUGUGAGCCACUGUGCCCGGCCUAGCAAGAUCACUUUUUAAGUAUCCAGAAAGCUCUUUCUUAUGUUGAAUUAUGUCCAGAGGCAUAACUAGACUGAAGGUUUAGACUCCAUUCAUUCUCCUAUGUUUUUGUUCUUAACUGCAUUCUGCAGUCAAAUCAGGAGCUUUAGAAAAUACUGAUGCCUGGCUCUCAACCAGAGAGAACUGAACUGAAUUGGUCUGGUGAAUUCAUUAAAAGAGCUAACAACAAUGAAGUUAAUGUACGCAUCUCACCUCUCAAGAGUAUUAACAGGCCAGGCGUGUUGGCUCAUACCUGUAAUCCCAGCACUUUGGGAGGCCAAGGCGGGCGGAUCACCCAAGGUAAGUUCAAGACCAGCCUGACCAACAUGGUGAAACCCCGUCUCUAUUAAAAAUACAAAAUUAGCCAGGCAUGGUGGUGCAUCCCUGUAAUCCCAGCUACUCGGCACCUGAGGCACAAGAAUUGCUUGAACCCGGGAGGCAGAGGUUGCGGUGAGCUGAGAUCCUGCCAUUGUACUCCAGCGUGGGCAACAAGAAUGAAACUCUGUCUCAAAAAAAUAAAUAAAUAAAAAUAAGUAUUAACACAUGGGAAAUCAUAAAGUUUUCAUUCUGAGCAGUGUGUCUUUGAAUGUUUUGACCACGCAGAGAUGGGAUUAUCAUGGUAAAAUCCACUCUAUGGAUUUACCAUAAUCUUGGUGGUAACGUGUUAACAGAAGCAAUAUUUAUUAUGAGAGUUAAAGUUUCAUUUGGUUUAGGUUCAUAUUUUCUUUCUCCUGUCAGUCUGCAAUGGCUCCCUAACAUAAUUCCAGAGAGCAUAUGAUGUGCUAGGCUCUGUGUAGGGGACAGGAGCACAGUGGUAAACCAACGUAAAG